UACGGAGGGCGCAAGCGUUGUUCGGAAUUACUGGGCGUAAAGCGCGUGUAGGUGGCCUGAAAAGUCGGGUGUGAAAUCCCGGAGCUCAACUCCGGAACUGCAUCCGAUACUGCCAGGCUCGAGUCUCGGAGAGGAUGGCGGAAUUUCCGGUGUAGAGGUGAAAUUCGUAGAUAUCGGAAGGAACACCAGUGGCGAAGGCGGCCGUCUGGACGAUGACUGACAAUGAGACGCGAAAGAGUGGGGAGCAAACAGG
rnacentral:rRNA from 1 species